CCUACGGGAGUCUGCAGUGGGGAAUCUUGCACAAUGGGGGAAACCCUGAUGCAGCGACGCCGCGUGAGUGAAGAAGUAUUUCGGUAUGUAAAGCUCUGUCAGCAGGGACGCAAAUGACGGUGCCUGACCAAGAAGCCCCGGCUAACUACUUGCCAGCAGCCGCGGUAAUACGUAGGGGGUGAGCGUUAUCCGGAUUUACUGCUGGUAAAGGGAGCGUAGACGGCAGGGCAAGUCUGGAGUGAAAGGCGGGGGCUCAACCCCCGGACUGCUCUGGAAACUGCCAGGCUGGAGUGCAGGAGAGGUAAGUGGAAUUCCGAGUGUAGCGGUGAAAUGCGUAGAUAUUAGGAGGAACACCAGUGGCGAAGGCAGCUUACUAAACUGCAACUGACAUUGAUGCUCGAAAGUGUGGGGAUCAAACAGGAUUAGAUACCCUUGUAGUC
rnacentral:rRNA from 1 species